CGGCGGGUAGCGAAGCGACGUCCCGCGAAUGGCCCCUUCGUGAUAACGCCGGUUCGAAUCCGGCCCCUGCGC
rnacentral:tRNA from 1 species